rnacentral:rRNA from 1 species
AUACGUAGGUGGCGAGCGUUAUCCGGAUUUACUGGGUGUAAAGGGCGCGUAGGCGGGGAAGCAAGUCAGGUGUGAAAUCUAUGGGCUUAAACCAUAAACUGCACUUGAAACUGUUUCUCUUGAGUGCUGGAGAGGUAGACGGAAUUCCUUGUGUAGCGGUGAAAUGCGUAGAUGUAAGGAAGAACACCAGUGGCGAAGGCGGAAUUCUGUAGAGUAACUGGCGCUGAGGCGCGAAAGCGUGAGGAGCAAUCAGGAUUAGAUACCCUGGUAGUCCACGCUGUAAACGAUGAAUACUAGGUGUGGGGUGACAGACCCCCUCCGUGCCUCAGUUAACACAAUAAGUAUUCCACCUGGGGAGUACGGCCGCAAGGUUGAAACUCAAAUGAAUUGACGGGG